AACGGAGGGGGCUAGCGUUAUUCAUCCUGAUUGGGCGUAAAGGGUACGUAGGUGAUGAAAAAUGAUUUUAGAGAAAUUUCAGGUUUGUAUCUUGAAGCACCUAAAAGCAUCGAUUAAUUCGAGAUUGAGGAGGUUGGCAGAAUUACUAAUGUAACGGUAAAAUGUUGCGAUAUUAGUGGGAAUGCCGGAGGCGAAGGCGGCUCUCUUUAAGGUCUGACACUGAGGUACUAAAGCAUGGGGAUCAAACAGG
rnacentral:rRNA from 1 species